rnacentral:rRNA from 1 species
GGUUGCGAUCAUACCAGCACUAAUGCACCGGAUCCCAUCAGAACUCGCAGUUAAGCGUGCUUGGGCGAGAGUAGUACUAGGAUGGGUGACCCCCUGGGAAGUCCUCGUGUUGCAACCC